AUGUUCCAGUAGUGGUGGGAGGUGGGUGGGCACAGCGGGAAUGACUUCUGGCCCCCUGCAGGCCUCCAUACCUCCCUAACAU
rnacentral:miRNA from 1 species